rnacentral:tRNA from 1 species
UCCCUGUUGGUAUAGUGGUUAUGAUUCGCGGCUUUCACCCGCGCGCACCGGGUUCGAUUCCCUGUCAGGGAG